UGAGAACAAAGGAGAAAGAUAAGAACUUUGUUCCAACUUCAAGACUUCAUUGCACAAUCUCUGAAAGCAAUCAUUGAAGGUAACAGCUUUAUUAAUUUGUAGUAAAAUAAUAACUAGGAUAUGCAAUCAAUGAUAAAUACACUUGAUCAUGAAGAAAUUUUUAUUUCAUAACUCCCAUGGAGCUAGACAUAAUCCAUGAAUCAAUUUCAAGAUCAAGACCCAAACAUAAUACAGAGAUAUGACAUUCAGCUCCUUCAGGUCUGAUUCCUUCCUGAAAUAAAUAAUGAACUGGAUAAGAAUCUUUAUUGGAGGAAUUGGAAAGAAAUCAAUAACCUAAUUUUAAAAAUAACUGAUCGUGAACUAAUCUGUAAAUUAACUGCAUACGAUAAGCAACAUAAAACUUUGUUAUAUAGUUAGCAUAAUCACAUCAGCAAGGGGAAAAGUAAUUUUAUAAGAAAGCUUUGUUCCAUUAAUAGUUUUACGUAAUAAACCUCUCAGUAAACACAUACAGGACAAGAUCCAAGACUGACACAAGCAUGUUACUUGGUUAUGUCCAAUGUAAUAUCAGAUUCAUUAUGUAAAAGAAAAUUGAACUCAGAAUACUGAAAAAGCCAAUUCUAUAAAGUACGCAAGUCAAAAGAAGAAAUAACCAGGAGGCAACCUAGCGUGCUGCUUCAUCCAAAAGGCUUUUAAUUAGGGCUAAUCUAAAAAGAGAAGGGUAGUGACAAGAUAAAAGGGCAUAUCCAAUGCAUAAGGUUCCCACCAAUUUAUAGUAAGACAAGCUAAAAAACAUAAAUAUAGUAUACAGCUGGCGUCCUUUGCAUGAUGAAACAAAAAUUUGAACAUGGAUCUAGCAACAAGACCUAUCAGAUGUGACCGUGGGAUGACUUCCUAGAUGGGGAACGUUGAUAUCUAAUAGGAGAACUAGACCAAUCAGAUGUGUCCCGUCGUUUGUGCUCCCUGUUUUCCACCGCAGGCGCCAUCCUUCGUCACAAAGUAGCCAAAGCUCCGAGUCGCAAUAUAAUCAAGUAAUUGAUAUCACUGAGUUCAAGCUAAAAUUCGUCAGAACAAGCACUAUAGUCAGAUUGACGAACAAAAACUAAUUUUCCAUUAAUAUCAUGAAGCAAUAAAGCAGGAUUAAGAAAAGCACACAUUUCCCACAAAUAGAGUAUCUCGAUUCCAGAGCCCACCAAAGACAAUGGGCAAAACCAUAGCUCAAAGCCAUCAAACGAAAGGAUAAGACAAAGAAACUUUAUAGAACACCAAGAAAAGAGAAAAAACCUAACUUUAACGCGCUCAUCAAUUUUUAUUCUCACUGCACUAUAUUAUUUGUACCAGUUGCAAACAACGAAAGAACGAAAACAAAGAUGGCAGGAAUACUAACUGAGAUGUGUUUGAUACGAAAGAGAGAAAAAGAAAAUCCGCGACAGCCAAGAAAAAGGGAUCUCAGAGGAGAAACUUACAUGCGAGAGAGGCAGGAGAGGGAAUGGAAGGAUAGCCCUAUCCAACGACGGAGCGUUCGCCACCGAGGGGAGGCGCCAUGGACGAACGC
rnacentral:lncRNA from 1 species